rnacentral:lncRNA from 1 species
UCCCUCUUGAGCUUGCUUGCUAAUGAAGAAUUCUUUUCCCAAGCCUAUAUAUUACUGACCGUGAAAAAAGAAAGAAGAGCAACCAAGUCAUCAUUGAUUGUCCACUCUCGUUCCUGAACCUUUCUUUUGCUGCUCAAAGUCUACCUUUUCAAUCUCUAUCUUUUGUUUUCUAUCACACAUCAGUGCUAUCUCUUCCCAGUAAGUUUUUCCCUCUUUCCUUCUCUUCUUUUGACUCUCCCUCUUCUUCUCCUUUAUAGUUUUUUUUAGUAGGUUUUUGCUAGGGUUUGGCAGUGUUUAGGUCUUACAGUUUAAGACCUAGGAUUCGGGUUUAGAAUAUUGGAUUAACAUAUUUUCUUAUAGGGUCUAGGGUUGGUCUCAAGACUUAGAGUUUGGCUUUGAAAAAUUGGGUUUAUAAUAUAUUAGGUCGUGGCCAUAAGGUUAGGGUUGUAGUGUGUAGGUUUUAGGGUUGAAGAUAUGUGAUUUUGGGUUGAGGGUUUUAGGUCAGCAUUUUUUGUAUUAAUGUCUAGGGCUUUAGUGUUUCAUGGUCUUUAGCAUAUAGGUAUCAGAGAUUAGCUUUGUAUUUAUUUUUGUCCAAAGUGAAUUUUCUUAACAUUUCAAGCAAAUAUCUAGCAGAAAAUUAUGUAAGUCAGGGUUUGUCUAGGUUUUAGGAUGCAUGGGACAACCUCCCUACUCUCUAUGGGCC